rnacentral:rRNA from 1 species
CAGGAAGCAGCUUGCUGCUUUGCUGACGAGUGGCGGACGGGUGAGUAAUGUCUGGGAAACUGCCUGAUGGAGGGGGAUAACUACUGGAAACGGUGGCUAAUACCGCAUAACGUCGCAAGACCAAAGAGGGGGACCUUCGGGCCUCUUGCCAUCAGAUGUGCCCAGAUGGGAUUAGCUUGUUGGUGAGGUAACGGCUCACCAAGGCGACGAUCCCUAGCUGGUCUGAGAGGAUGACCAGCCACACUGGAACUGAGACACGGUCCAGACUCCUACGGGAGGCAGCAGUGGGGAAUAUUGCACAAUGGGCGCAAGCCUGAUGCAGCCAUGCCGCGUGUAUGAAGAAGGCCUUCGGGUUGUAAAGUACUUUCAGCGGGGAGGAAGGUGUUGUGGUUAAUAACCGCAGCAAUUGACGUUACCCGCAGAAGAAGCACCGGCUAACUCCGUGCCAGCAGCCGCGGUAAUACGGAGGGUGCAAGCGUUAAUCGGAAUUACUGGGCGUAAAGCGCACGCAGGCGGUCUGUCAAGUCGGAUGUGAAAUCCCCGGGCUCAACCUGGGAACUGCAUUCGAAACUGGCAGGCUUGAGUCUUGUAGAGGGGGGUAGAAUUCCAGGUGUAGCGGUGAAAUGCGUAGAGAUCUGGAGGAAUACCGGUGGCGAAGGCGGCCCCCUGGACAAAGACUGACGCUCAGGUGCGAAAGCGUGGGGAGCAAACAGGAUUAGAUACCCUGGUAGUCCACGCCGUAAACGAUGUCUACUUGGAGGUUGUGCCCUUGAGGCGUGGCUUCCGGAGCUAACGCGUUAAGUAGACCGCCUGGGGAGUACGGCCGCAAGGUUAAAACUCAAAUGAAUUGACGGGGGCCCGCACAAGCGGUGGAGCAUGUGGUUUAAUUCGAUGCAACGCGAAGAACCUUACCUGGUCUUGACAUCCACAGAAGAAUCCAGAGAUGGAUUUGUGCCUUCGGGAACUGUGAGACAGGUGCUGCAUGGCUGUCGUCAGCUCGUGUUGUGAAAUGUUGGGUUAAGUCCCGCAACGAGCGCAACCCUUAUCCUUUGUUGCCAGCGGUCCGGCCGGGAACUCAAAGGAGACUGCCAGUGAUAAACUGGAGGAAGGUGGGGAUGACGUCAAGUCAUCAUGGCCCUUACGACCAGGGCUACACACGUGCUACAAUGGCGCAUACAAAGAGAAGCGACCUCGCGAGAGCAAGCGGACCUCAUAAAGUGCGUCGUAGUCCGGAUUGGAGUCUGCAACUCGACUCCAUGAAGUCGGAAUCGCUAGUAAUCGUGGAUCAGAAUGCCACGGUGAAUACGUUCCCGGGCCUUGUACACACCGCCCGUCACACCAUGGGAGUGGGUUGCAAAAGAAGUAGGUAGCUUAACCUUCGGGAGGGCGCUUACCACUUUGUGAUUCAUGACUGGGGUGAAGUCGUAACAAGGUAACCGUAGGGGAACCUGCGGUUGGAUCACCUCCUUA